GGGGUCCCCCCGGCCCACGGCGCCUCCCCGCAGGUCGCGCCCGGUGCUGUGGGUGACGCCGCAGGUGACGUUCGCCCCCGAGCGGCUCCCGGCCGAGCCCUGGGGCUGCGACGACCCCGCGCAGGACGAAAACGCCACCGAGGCGGCAGGUGCCGGGUGCUGCGGCGGGCGCGGGGCGGCGGCGGGGUGCAAUGGGGUGCAAUGGGGUGCAAUGGGUGCAGCAGGGUGCAAAUGGGUGUUGCAAUGGGUGCAAUGCGUGCAGUGGGGUGCAAUGGAUUUUGCAAUGGGUGCAGCGGGGUGCAAUGGGUGGAAAUGGGUGCAAUGGGUGCAGGGGAUGCAGUGGGGUGCAAAUGGGCAGUGCAAUGGGUGCAAUGCAAGCAGUGGGUGCAAUGCGUGCAAAUGGGUGUUGCAAUGGGUGCAGUGCAUGCAAUGGGAUGCAGUGGGUGCAAUGGGCUUUGCAAUGGGUGCAGUGCGUGCAGAGGGGUGCAAUGGGUGUUGCAAUGGGUGUUGCAAUGGGUGGAAAUGGGCUUUGCAAUGGGUGCAAUGCAUACAGCAGGGUGCAAUGGGUGCAAAUCGGUGUUGCAAUGGGUGCAAUGCAUGCAGCGGGGUGCAAUGGGCUUUGCAAUGGGUGCAAUACAUGCAGUGGGGUGCAGUGGGUGCAAAUGGGCUUUGCAAUGGGUGCAGUGUGUGCAGUGGGGUGCAAUGGGUGCGAAUGGGCUUUGCAACGGGUGCAAUGGGUGCAGCGGGGUGCAAUGGGUGCAAAUGGGCGUUGCAACGGGCGCAUUGCACACAACGGGGGCGCCACGCACGUGAUGGGUGCAAAUGGGCUUUGCAACGGGGUGCGGUGCAUGCGGCAGAAGCAAUGGGUGCAGCGGGCGCAACGCACGCGACAGGCAUGAGGGGUGCAAGGGACGCAACGGGGUGCAACACAUGCAAUAGCUGCAACGGGUGCAACGCAUGCAACGGGUGCAAUGGGUGUGAUGCAUGCAGCAAAUGCAACGGGUGCAGUGCAUGCAACGGGUGCAAUGAGUGCAAUGCGUGCAACGGGUGCAAUGGGUGCAGUGCAUGCAACGGGUGCAGCGUAUGCAAUGGGUGCGAGGGGCGCGACGGGCACCCGAGGGUUCUGCAGCGGGUGCCACGCGUGCCACAGGUGCGGCGAGCGGGCCGGGGCGCCCCGGGG
rnacentral:lncRNA from 1 species